AAUGAACGCUAGCGGCAGGCUUAAUACAUGCAAGUCAAGGGGGUAGCAAUACAACCGGCGCACGGGUGAGUAACGCGUACACAACAUACCAUAUACUGGAGUAUAGCUUUGGGAAACUGAAGGUAAUCCUCCAUAACAUUGCGAGAGGGCAUCUGAUUGCAAUUAAAGUUUCGGCGGUAUAUGAUUGGUGUGCGUUUGAUUAGCUAGUUGGUAGGGUAACGGCCUACCAAGGCGACGAUCAAUAGCUGGCGUGAGAGCGCGACCAGCCACACUGGAACUGAGACACGGUCCAGACUCCUACGGGAGGCAGCAGUAGGGAAUAUUGGACAAUGGAGGAAACUCUGAUCCAGCCAUGCCGCGUGAUAGAUGAAGGCCCUCUGGGUUGUAAAUAUCUUUUAUCUGGGAAGAAACACUCCUAUUCUUAGGAACUUGACGGUACCAGAGGAAUAAGCACCGGCUAACUCCGUGCCAGCAGCCGCGGUAAAGUACAG
rnacentral:rRNA from 1 species